GCCCUUAUAAUGUAGAGCACAAAGAGUGAAUCCUAAGGCAAAUACUUUGGGUGAUUUAUGAUGUGAUCACAAAUGGAGAAGUAGCAGAGAGGAUUUCAAGACGUGAAUAAAACUAAUGCCUUUUUGUAAUCAGUACCUGGAAGAAUGCCUGGCACACCUCUGAUGCUUAAUAAAAAUUUGUUACAUGAAUGAGUGAUACCUACCUCUUACCACUUCACAUGGCCCUUCUUGAACUAAGCCAACAAAAGUCUAUGGUUGCUCCAUAUGGUUUCCUCUUCAUUUGGUGCUUCCUCCUCCUCCUCUUCUUCUGGGUCGUCAGUAUCUCCUGACUCGUCACUGUCUUCCACCCAUUUCCCUGGCAUUAGUCCUGCUGAAUCAUAGGAGUUGCACAGAGGACCCACAAUGUGGGAGAUGAAGGAUUCCUGAAGAUUGGCCAGCUGAGGAGCAGAACGGUCCAUGAAGGGGCUUAUUGGUAACCCAAGGCUGGCCUCUUCAUCACCCUGGAAAUAGGAAUUUAGCAUGAAUAGUUAACCAGAAAAUGACAUGAAAAAUUUAAAAUACUAGUAAAGUCAGCAUUCA